UACGUAGGGUGCAAGCGUUAAUCGGAAUUACUGGGCGUAAAGCGUGCGCAGGCGGUUUUGUAAGUCUGUCGUGAAAUCCCCGGGCUCAACCUGGGAAUUGCGAUGGAGACUGCAAGGCUAGAAUCUGGCAGAGGGGGGUAGAAUUCCACGUGUAGCAGUGAAAUGCGUAGAGAUGUGGAGGAACACCGAUGGCGAAGGCAGCCUCCUGGGUCAAGAUUGA
rnacentral:rRNA from 1 species